UUCCUUGAGGAGUGGCUUCCGGAGCUAACGCGUUAAGUCGACCGCCUGGGGAGUACGGCCGCAAGGUUAAAACUCAAAUGAAUUGACGGGGGCCCGCACAAGCGGUGGAGCAUGUGGUUUAAUUCGAUGCAACGCGAAGAACCUUACCUACUCUUGACAUCCAGAGAACUUUCCAGAGAUGGAUUGGUGCCUUCGGGAACUCUGAGACAGGUGCUGCAUGGCUGUCGUCAGCUCGUGUUGUGAAAUGUUGGGUUAAGUCCCGCAACGAGCGCAACCCUUAUCCUUUGUUGCCAGCGGUUCGGCCGGGAACUCAAAGGAGACUGCCAGUGAUAAACUGGAGGAAGGUGGGGAUGACGUCAAGUCAUCAUGGCCCUUACGAGUAGGGCUACACACGUGCUACAAUGGCGCAUACAAAGAGAAGCGACCUCGCGAGAGCAAGCGGACCUCAUAAAGUGCGUCGUAGUCCGGAUUGGAGUCUGCAACUCGACUCCAUGAAGUCGGAAUCGCUAGUAAUCGUAGAUCAGAAUGCUACGGUGAAUACGUUCCCGGGCCUUGCACUCCCCGCCCGUCAAAA
rnacentral:rRNA from 1 species